ACCUGCGGAAGGAUCAUUGUCGUUACCAUAACCUAAAAUAGACUGUGAACAUGUCAUCUAAGCUGCCGGUUGAUGGGUCUUGCACCUAUCUCUCGGUCGAGGCCACCAUUCUUCUUUUGGAGGGAUGGUGUGCCUAAAGAACCCACGGCGCUGUAUGGCGUCAAGGAAAACAGUUAUUGCCUUGCUUGGGGCCACGACCGGCUUGCCGGACGUACUACCAGCAGCGAUGUUUGGAAAUUAACAUGACUCUCGGCAACGGAUAUCUCGGCUCUUGCAUCGAUGAAGAACGUAGCAAAAUGCGAUACCUGGUGUGAAUUGCAGAAUCCCGUGAACCAUCGAGUUUUUGAACGCAAGUUGCGCCUGAGGCCUUUUGGUCGAGGGCACGUCUGCCUGGGCGUCACGCCAAAAGACACUCCACACCAAACCCGGUCUGGAUGUGGUGUUUGGCCCCUCAUCCCAGCAGGUAUGAUGGGCCAAAGAGGCGGCUGCCGGCGGUGCCGAUCACAGCACAUGGUGGAUGACCCAAGUUAUUCUCGGUGUUUUGAUCAUGGCAACUCUCGGUCAUGUGAAGCCCCUUAAGACCCAUGUAUUUGAGCGCAUGUUGCUUGGACCGCGACCCCAGGUCAGUCGGGACUACCCGCUGAAUUUAAGCAUAUCAAUAAGCGG
rnacentral:rRNA from 1 species